CACUCCUGCGGGAGGCAGCAGUGGGGAAUAUUGGACAAUCGGCGCAAGCCUGAUCCAGCCAUGCCGCGUGAGUGAUGAAGGCCCUAGGGUUGUAAAGCUCUUUCACCGGUGAAGAUAAUGACGGUAACCGGAGAAGAAGCCCCGGCUAACUUCGUGCCAGCAGCCGCGGUAAUACGAAGGGGGCUAGCGUUGUUCGGAUUUACUGGGCGUAAAGCGCACGUAGGCGGACUAUUAAGUCAGGGGUGAAAUCCCGGGGCUCAACCCCGGAACUGCCUUUGAUACUGGUAGUCUUGAGUUCGAGAGAGGUGAGUGGAAUUCCGAGUGUAGAGGUGAAAUUCGUAGAUAUUCGGAGGAACACCAGUGGCGAAGGCGGCUCACUGGCUCGAUACUGACGCUGAGGUGCGAAAGCGUGGGGAGCAAACAGGAUUAGAAACCCCAGUAGUCCCAUGA
rnacentral:rRNA from 1 species